rnacentral:rRNA from 1 species
GAUGAACGCUAGCUACAGGCUUAACACAUGCAAGUCGAGGGGUAACGAGAGGAAAGCUUGCUUUCCUUGUCGACGACCGGCGCACGGGUGAGUAACGCGUAUCCAACCUGCCCCCAACUAGGGAAUAACCUUGCGAAAGUAAGACUAAUACCCUAUAAUUUCCUCAGAUGACAUCUGACGAGGAAUAAAGAUUUAUCGGUUGUGGAUGGGGAUAAGUCUGAUUAGCUUGUUGGCGGGGUAACGGCCCACCAAGGCAACGAUCAGUAGGGGUGAUGCAAGGAAGGACCCCCACAGUGGAACUGAGACACGGUCCAAACUCCUACGGGAGGCAGCAGUGAGGAAGAUUGGUCAGUGGGCGGAAGCCUGAACCAGCCAAGUAGCGUGCAGGAUGACGGCCCUAUGGGUUGUAAACUGCUUUUAUACAGGAAUAAAGUUAGCCACGUGUGGUUAUUUGUAGGUACUGUAUGAAUAAGGACCGGCUAAUUCCGUGCCAGCCGCCGCCGUAA